rnacentral:tRNA from 1 species
GCGCACUUAACUCAGUGGUAGAGUACUUCCUUUACACGGAAGGAGUCGGGGGUUCGAAUCCCUCAGUGCGCA